rnacentral:rRNA from 1 species
GACGAACGCUGGCGGCGUGCUUAACACAUGCAAGUCGAACGAUGAUGCCCAGCUUGCUGGGUGGAUUGGUGGCGAACGGGUGAGUAACACGUGAGUAACCUGCCCCUGACUCUGGGAUAAGCGUUGGAAACGACGUCUAAUACUGGAUAUGACUGCCGGCCGCAUGGUCUGGUGGUGGAAAGAUUUGUUGGUUGGGGAUGGACUCGCGGCCUAUCUGCUUGUUGGUGAGGUACUGGCUCACCAAGGCGACGACGGGUAGCCGGGCUGGGAGGGUGACCGGCCACACUGGGACUGAGACACGGCCCAGACUCCUACGGGAGACAGCAGUCAACAAUAUUCCGCAAUGGACGAAAGUCUGACGGAGCGACGCCGCGUGCAGGAAGAAGCCCUUCGGGGUGUAAACUGCUUUUCUUAGGGACGAAUUAGUGACGGUACUUAAGGAAUAAGAGGUUGCUAACUCUGUGCCAGCCGCCGCGGUAACAC